rnacentral:lncRNA from 1 species
GACAGAAUUUCACCCUUGUUUCCCAGGCUGGAGUCCAAUGGCACGAUCUCGGCUCACUGUAACCUCCACCUCACAACCAGGCACUUUCUUUAGGGGAGUAUGUACAGCACCAACAGAUUUCUGCCAUCUGCCUUCAGCUACUGAGUUCUUAAGGAGAUGGAAUGUCAAGUCUUUAACCCUUGGAUGUCCUUGAUUGAGGGAGAAGCAGUGUGAAAAGGAGAAGCACCAGCCUCCAAGGUACCAAAUGGGUGGAAAUUAAAAACAACUGAAAAUGGCAUUGGAGAAUUCCCUAAGAAGAAAAAAAGACAAAGAUGUCUUGUUCCUACUGCCAAACUGCUAAUAGGCAUUCAAAAAAUGCUAAAAAAUGAAAGAAGGGUAGGGGUAUUCAUAUGCUUUGGCUCUGUGUCCCCACCCAAAUCCCACCUCCAAUUUUAAUCCCCAUCAUCCCCAUAUUUCAAGGGCUAGACUAGGCAGAGCUAAUUGGAUCAUGAGGGCAGUUUCCCCCAUGCUGUUUUCAUAAUAGUGAGUUCUCACAAGAUCUGGUGGUUUUAUAGGCAUCUGGCAUUUCCCCUGCUUGUACUCACUCUGUCCUGCCACCCUGUAAAGAAGGUGCCUGCUUCUUCUUUGCCUUCCGCUAUGAUUGUAAGUUUCCUGAGGUGUCCCCAACUAUGUGGAAGUGUGAGUCAAUUAAACCUCUUUCCUUUA